rnacentral:misc_RNA from 1 species
CUCUGCUCAAGAGUGUAGGUUUAGCUGGAAAAGACGGCAUUAUUUCAGAGGUUUCUCCAGGAGUAUUUGUGCAGGGGUUGCUCGUUUAUGGCAGACAAGGCAGGGAAAUAUCUCGAAUAAACUUGGAUCCAGUUGUGUGUAGAGAGGCAUGUCUCUACUCUCUUGAGCAUAGGAUUCCCCUUGCUGCAUUUAGUGAGGACCGGAUCUUUACAUUGUUUCAUCACCCGCUUGUGGAUUCACUUCAUACCAUAUAUAAUGAGCCAAAGGCCGAGAUUAUUCCUUCAGUUGAGCAACUAUUGACUGGGACAGACAUACAGAAGGUGAUCUUCUUCGAUACUGUGGAGGGAGUGAGUUCUACAUUGAGACCAUACUGGGAGGAGUCACUUGGAGAUAAUGCCUCUGUUGUCCAAGCUCAACCGGACAUACUUGAAAUUGUUCCUCCUGGAUCUUCUAAGGGCAGUGGAGUAAAGAUUCUUCUUGAUCAUUUGGGUGUUAGUCCUAAGGAGAUAAUGGC